rnacentral:lncRNA from 1 species
CGGCGGGAGUAGUGCUUCAGGCCAGAGCUGAGAGGCGCUGGCGGCGGCUGGACCGCGAGGUGGGCUCGGUGGGCGGCGCCGAGCUCGGCUCUGCUCGGAGGCGCGGACAGCCCGGGGCUGCCAGCCGCCCUACCGGGUCCCGGCGCACAAAGCUACAAGGCUCGCUGCAGCCCUCUGCCCUGCCUCGCGCUCCGGA